GGUUGCAAACCUCGUUAGCCUCGUAGAGG
rnacentral:misc_RNA from 1 species